GAGUGCGGGAGUUCGUCGCAUGCGCAUGUCGUGGAACCUACUCUCCACGAGUUUUUAUUGUUGUUGCUUUUGUACCCCCUCGGGAUCCCUAGCGGAGGCAGUGACUCUCUUUCCCCCCAAGACGUUGUUCCCUGUUUGAAGGUGUUCUUCCUAAUGUUUCCUAGGCUGCUGAAUUCAGCUCUCUAAAAAAUGCGGAAUGCUAACCAUGACUCCCAGGCAAGUGCUACACCAAAGCAUCUAUUCUGCUGGAAACGUUCAUGCUGAUUAACUAGAAAUAAGUUGAUCCUCUACUGAGUAUCAGGGAGUGCGUUUUUCUAUAACAGGAAAAAACGGAAGAAUGCAAGAUGGAAUUUCCAGUACCUCUUUUUAAGAUACAAUUGGUGUUAGCAUAUUACAAUUAUUUUAUUGCAUCAUCACUAUCAUUAGUAUGAUUAAUAGCCACAUAUUUCCUCCUGACGUUAUGUGUUAUGAUCUUAGAAUUUUGAAGACUUUGACCACUGCGAGUCGGGACCGGGAAUUUUCUAUCUAAAAUAAUAGACUCUACUUCCUUCUAUAUAACUUAGCAAGACUGCCAAAUGUACAGGAUAACAUUUGGAAAAUAAGAUUGGAUUCAUCCCCUAGUGACCAAAUUAAUGCUUUAAUAAUGAGGAAUGCUUUCCCUGAGAUCUAAAACAUCUCACAAGAGAUCUAAGACAUAUAUCACAAUUAACAAAAGACAUGGAAUUUUUUACCACGACUGCUUUGGAUGCUGUGUGGAGAGUAGACAAUGGAGCUAAGGGCAAAAGGGAGAUCAGUCAGAAGUUAUUGCUGGCUUGGACCCAGGCAAUAAUAGGUGGAGAGGUAAGUGGACAUAUUUUAGACAUAUUUUAAAGAAAGCCAACCAAAUUUGCUGACAUUGAAUAUGGAGUGUGGGAGUAUCAAUCACUGCCAUGGGUAUGAAAAUCUUAAUAAACAGAAUUGGAACUCACUAGAAGCAGAGUGUACUCUGAGAGAAACAUUAGAAAAACAGUUACUUGUUCCUGUGGUUCAGAAAUAAGGACGAGUCCUAAAGCGUUGAUAGUGUGCAGGGAGAAGAAAGAGUGAUGAAACUUAAGUGAGAGCACAAUGGGGUUUUGUUACACAUCAGGGUAUGAAGGCGGGAGCUGAAGGAGGAAGGGGGAGCCAAAGAAGUGCCAGGUUUCUGCCUAAGGCUUACCUCAGAGAAGGACAAAAGGAUAUUAGCAUCUUGUUAAUAAAGGCAACUCUUCACACCUGGAGUUUUCCCAGAGCCUGAAGUACGGGGACACCUUUCACAUGUGCGGA
rnacentral:lncRNA from 1 species